CAAUAAAUUAAUUAGCCGAUAGCAGGUAUUACCAUUACCAUACAACUCAAAAGCAAAGGCCGAGAAUAAUUUCAAGAUAAGGCCUAAGAUUCCCACAAUAGUGACUGCCUGCAUGAAUAAAUCAGGGGAUUCUAAAAAUGGGAACCAUCAAUGGCCAUUCAACGGAGGUGGAAGCACUACAUAGUACAUACAUAUUCACAACACGGAGCACUCCGUAUUGCAUACAUAGAAACGGAUGGCAGGGACAUUUGGGAAGACUAGCAGGGUUCGGGCUGUUGAAGGCUUAACCAUGCUAUGCCAUAACGGUCAUAGAUCCUUAAUCCCUCAAAGAUACCCUAUGGUGCUGUUAUUUAUCCCGCGGAGCAUCCUGGGCGGAACUUUGUGGUUUCAACUUCCAAGCGCUGCGCACGGCACAGUGUGCAAACACUGGGCCCGUUGACCCAAGAAAGUUUCGAAUAUAACUUGCAUCUUCAUGUAUGAUGGAAAGGGUUUAGUCUAACAAAAGAAAAUGAUUGUAGUCAAUGUAGUGAGAUAUGAUUUACCCGUGGAAGGAAAGUGUCACCUCAUACAGAAUUGAGGCCCAGGACUGACAACAGCGGCCCCAUUGCUGUGCUUCGUGUGUAGUAUUCUUGUACAAUCUGAAUUCAUUGAAAACCGUAUGUACAGAGCGUGCUUGAUCUUCUCUUAUUCUAGAAUCUCUGAGGUGGACCAAGUAUGUUACGCCAAAUAGGUCCCUAAGAAUAAACCCUAAUGACAAAGCCCGCUAAAGCCGGUAAAGCCUAACUCAAA
rnacentral:lncRNA from 1 species